GAUGAACGCUGGCGGCGUGCCUAAUACAUGCAAGUCGAGCGAACAGAUGAGGAGCUUGCUCCUCUGACGUUAGCGGCGGACGGGUGAGUAACACGUGGAUAACCUACCUAUAAGACUGGGAUAACUUCGGGAAACCGGAGCUAAUACCGGAUAAUAUAUUGAACCGCAUGGUUCAAUAGUGAAAGACGGUUUUGCUGUCACUUAUAGAUGGAUCCGCGCCGCAUAAGCUAGUUGGUAAGGUAACGGCUUACCAAGGCAACGAUGCGUAGCCGACCUGAGAGGGUGAUCGGCCACACUGGAACUGAGACACGGUCCAGACUCCUACGGGAGGCAGCAGUAGGGAAUCUUCCGCAAUGGGCGAAAGCCUGACGGAGCAACGCUGCGUGAGUGAUGAAGGUCUUCGGAUCGUAAAACUCUGUUAUUAGGGAAGAACAAAUGUGUAAGUAACUAUGCACGUCUUGACGGUACCUAAUCAGAAAGCCACGGCUAACUACGUG
rnacentral:rRNA from 1 species